AAUGGACGUGUAUCAUUUCCUAGCCAUUAUACGGAUAUAUUUAUUAUAUCUUAUGGUAUUGGGUUUUGAUGCAAGCUUCUUGAUCAAAGUAUCACGAGUUUGUUAUAUAAUCGCAAACAAAUUCUUUAAUAAAACGAUGCAUUUAUGUAUUUUUGAUUUGAAAAUUUGGUAUAACUCCAAUUACUCAGGUAUGAUCCAAUUCAAGGACAUUGCCAGGUAGGGAGUUUGACUGGGGCGGUACAUCUCUCAAAUAAUAACGGAGGUGUCCCAAGGCCAGCUCAGUGCGGACAGAAACCACACAUAGAGCAAAAGGGCAAAUGCUGACUUGAUCUCGGUGUUCAGUACACACAGGGACAGCAAAAGCUCGGCCUAUCGAUCCUUUUGGUUUAAAGAGUUUUUAACAAGAGGUGUCAGAAAAGUUACCAUAGGGAUAACUGGCUUGUGGCGGCCAAGCGUUCAUAGCGACGUCGCUUUUUGAUCCUUCGAUGUCGGCUCUUCCUAUCAUUGUGAAGCAAAAUUCACCAAGCGUUGGAUUGUUCACCCAUGCAAGGGAACGUGAGCUGGGUUUAGACCGUCGUGAGACAGGUUAGUUUUACCCUACUAAUGACAAAACGUUGUUGCGACAGCAUUCCUGCGUAGUACGAGAGGAAACCGCAGGUACGGACCAAUGGCACAAUACUUGUUCGAGCGAACAGUGGUAUGACGCUACGUCCGUUGGAUUAUGCCUGAACGCCUCUAAGGUCGUAUCCGUGCUGGACUGCAAUGAUAAAUAAGGGGCAAUUUGCAUUGUAUGGCUUCUAAACCAUUUAAAGUUUAUAAUUUAUUUUAUAAACGACAAUGGAUGUGAUGCCAAUGUAAUUUGUAACAUAGUAAAUUAGGAGGAUCUUCGAUCACCUGAUGCCGCGCUAGUUACAUAUAAAAGCAUUAUUUAAUACAAUGACAAAGCCUAGAAUCAAUUGUAAACGACUUUUGUAACAGGCAAGGUGUUGUAAGUGGUUGAGCAGCUGCCAUACUGCGAUCCACUGAAGCUUAUCCUUUGCUUGAUGAUUCGA
rnacentral:ncRNA from 1 species